GGGUUGUGAGGUUAAGCGACUAAGCGUACACGGUGGAUGCCCUGGCAGUCAGAGGCGAUGAAGGGCGUGCUAAUCUGCGAUAAGCGCCGGUAAGGUGAUAUGAACCGUUAUAACCGGCGAUACCCGAAUGGGGAAACCCAGUGUGAUUCGUCACACUAUCAUUAACUGAAUCCAUAGGUUAAUGAGGCGAACCGGGGGAACUGAAACAUCUAAGUACCCCGAGGAAAAGAAAUCAACCGAGAUUCCCCCAGUAGCGGCGAGCGAACGGGGAGGAGCCCAGAGCCUGAAUCAGCAUGUGUGUUAGUGGAAGCGUCUGGAAAGGCGCGCGAUACAGGGUGACAGCCCCGUACACAAAAGCGCAUGUGCUGUGAGCUCGAUGAGUAGGGCGGGACACGUGGUAUCCUGUCUGAAUAUGGGGGGACCAUCCUCCAAGGCUAAAUACUCCUGACUGACCGAUAGUGAACCAGUACCGUGAGGGAAAGGCGAAAAGAACCCCGGCGAGGGGAGUGAAAAAGAACCUGAAACCGUGUACGUACAAGCAGUGGGAGCACCCUUCGGGGUGUGAC
rnacentral:rRNA from 2 species